CUGGCGUCUUAUCCUCGCUGCGGCCGCCCGGGGACGCUGAAGCUCGGCGUUUCCUGGCGGCACAAAUGUCCGUUUGUAAAGCAGCAGGGCUGGAGUCUGCAGGAUUUGCAGGCUUCCGUCUUGAAGGAAGUCUGGGAGGCUCAGAAUUUCCAGCGUUUUCACCGUAGAGCCAGCCUCGCCAGGGCCAAACCACCCAGUAGCCUGACUGCCAGCAGCCUCGGCAGGGAGGAAUAAAAAUUUUUCAUCUAUAAUUCAGAAGCUAAGUAAAUAACAAAAUGAAGCCAGUAAAGCAUCUGUUGGCAUCUAGUAGUAAAUUGGCAAAUGUUCCAGAAUUAACAUAUAAAAAAGGAGUAUUUAAUUCACCAUUGUCACCUAAACCAAAGGAAAAACAUAGUGCAAAAUUAGUACGUGAUAAACUUGAACCAGUGGUCUUAAGAUCUCCACCAACAGGGGAAUCCAUCAUAAGGUAUGCUUUGCCCAUUCCAUCAAGUAAGACAGAGGAGUUAGUAGCAGAAGAUGAAUUGAUCAGGAAGAUUACCAAACAUCUGAAGAUGGUUGUUUCUACUUUGGAAGAAACCUAUGGAUUUAGCAUUCCAAGUGGAGAAGAACCAGUUGUGAAGCCUGAACAUGAAGGAUUAACCUUUCCUGUUGAGAAUGAUCUGAAUUCAUUCUUGGUAUGUUGUUCACAACUUGCAGCUCAGUUAGAAGCAGCAGCUAAGGAAGAACGUAAUAUUUUGGAAUCUCUUUUUAAGUGGUUUCAGCGACAGGUCAAUCAGAUGGAAGAGAUAAGUAGAGGUCAAACUUUUUCAGCAGAGUUUCCAGCACCUGAUAAAACAGUCAGUUUAAGCAUUGCACAAAUAGUAAAGCAGAUGCACAAACUUGAAGAACUGAAAAAUCGCCUUAAAGAAAGGUCUAAAUUCACCUUCAAAGACAUGUCAUCUAAACCCAAGGAUAGUGAAAUUCCACCAGAAGAAGUGCAAACUUAUGAAACUGUACUGCAGAAAAUUGAAGAAUUCAUAAAAACACACUCAACUGAAGAAAUUACAGGUGUUUCUGCGACUGAGCCACUAGAAACUUCUACAAUGACUAAUCGAUUGAAUACCAUGUUGAAAAUAUUUGAAAAUCAGGCAAAUAAAUUAAAGAGAGCUAUGAGUGAGCAAGUUUUGUUAGAGGCUAAAAAUACACAGAUUCAAAGUGACCUCCAAGUGUUGUCAGAGGAGAAACUGAUGCUGGAAAAUGAACUACAAAAGUUGAAGAGUACAGAGAAACCAAAGGCUACAAGUGAGCGACAAAAGAAAACUAUGAAAAUGGAGAAGAAAAAAGACGAAGGAAUAUCUGAAGAUUCAGAAGAGAAGAAGUCUGUAGUGAAAGAGCUUAAAGUAAAAGAAGAUAUGCCUCAAGUCCAGGAAGUAGCACAUGCUCUGAAAAUUGAGAACAGAGUUCUUCGGGAACAACUGAAACAAGCUUUACAGGAAGCUGAAAGAGCUAAGGAGCAACUUGCCUAUUUCCAAAAUCAAGAAAUGGAGUUACUUAAAAGUGAGGGAAAGACCAAGACAACAGCAGAAAUGGGUAUUGAUAAAAUAAAAGUUAAAGGUGAAGAUUCAAAAUAUAUACCAUUGGAGAAAGACACAAGAAAAACACUAGUGGCAGAUUCAGGUGGACAAAAAGAAAAUGAUAAAAUUAAACAUCCACAGAUCCUCAAGUCUCAAGAUGGAUCACCUUUUUUAAACACUUCAAAUGAAAUUUUAACUGAUGAAGAUCUGUCCCAUCUACUUUCAUCAAAGACCCAUGAUAAAUCACUUACAAGAAUAUUAUUGAGCAAAGAAAUUCAAGAUUCACAGUCUGUUGGAACAUUGCUUCAAGGGAAUGAAACCGCGACAGCAUCAUUCGUUCCACCCCCUUUUGUUAAAAUGAAGACUCUGGCUACUGACAUCUCAAAGGCUGAUAUUUUAGAAGAGAAUUUACGAAGUAAGAUUAAAAAGCAAACUUACGAAGAAGCAAGAGAAUUUCAAGGUUAUGAUGAAGCAUCAGAUGAAAAGCUUAUGCUUAACCAUCAGGAUUCAGUGUCAAAACGCCAAACACAAGUAAAGAAACAAAGAACUUUCAAAAGGGAAAGACUCUCUACUCAUGAUAAAGUACCAGAUAAGAAGCUUAUGCAUGAGAAUCAAGAUUCAGUGUCAAAAAUCCAACAGCAAGUAAAGAAAGAAAGAAAUCUCAGAAAGGAAGGACACACUACUCAGUUUGAAGUACCAGAUGGAAAUCUUCUCUAUGAGGAUCAAGACUCAAUAUCAAAAACACAAAUGCAAGUAAAUACACAGAGAACAUUCAAAGCUCAUGAUCAUGUGUCAGAUGAAAAUCUUAUGUUUAAGCAUCAAGACUCAAAGUCAGAAACAGAAAUGCAUGCAGAGAAACAAAAAUCUUCUAGAGAUGAAAGUCUCAUUACUCAUCGUAAAGUACCAGAUGAAAAUCCUGUGCUUGAGCAUGGAGACUCAAUGUCAGAAACUCAACUGGAAGUAAAGAAACAAAGACCUUCUAAAGGAGAAAGACUCAAUACUCAGGAUGAAGUACCAGAUGGAAAUCGUAUGCUUGAGCAUCAAGAUUCUGUGUCAAAAUCAGAGAUUCAAGUGAAGAAACAAAGCCCUCACAAAGGGGAAAGACAUAUUACUCAUGAUGACACACCAGACAAAAAUCCUGUGCUUAAACAUCAAGAUUCAGUGUCAAAACUCCCCAUGCAAGUACAAAAACAAAUAACUUCCAGAGGAGGACAACACAGUAGUCAUAUUGGAGUACUGGGUGAAAAUCUUACGCUUGUAAAUCAAGAUUCAGUGUCAAAACCCCAAAUGCAAGUAGAGAAACAAAUACCUUACAGGAAGGAGAUGAGUCAUACAUUUCCUCUUCAAAACGAGAAAAACGAUACGAUAACACUUGAAAAUCUACCUCCUGAGAAGAAAGGUUUUUUUUCAAGAAACCAAUCUCAAACUAAGAACCUUAGAGCUAUCAGACAGGAGAAUCUUGAUACUCAGAAAGCAGAAGACGUAUUACCCGAGGAUGAAGUUGAAUUGUCAAAAAGCCAAUCUCAAACUAAGAAACUUAGAGCUGUCACAAUGAAAGCACUAAAUAAUCAAGAUGCGAAUGAACUCUCAGAUGAGAAUUUUAUACUUGAAGAUCUAGUACUAGCUAAAGGAUACAAGGAUAAAAUUCAAACAAGUGGAGUUUAUGAGUCUCAAAAAUUGAGAGUUAAAAAUGAAGCAGCCUCAGAACAUCCAGAUACAGCAGAAAAUCUUCCAGCAGUGAAUCCAUCAGUUAAUGACCUAAUAUUUCAAUUAGGUUUAAACAAAGUGGUAGAAAUUGAUCUAGAACCCUUGAAAGAUACUGUUGGAAGACGUAUAUUAAUGGCAGAAAUGAAGAUACAACCAAAGAGUGUCCCUGGCACUGAUACAGAGCGCUUCCCAGAUGCUAUUGGAAGAGGUAUAAUAAAGGGUGGAAUCAAGACACAAUCCAAGAGUCAUCCUGAGACUGAUAUACAACGCAUGAGAGAUACUGUUGGAAGAGAAAAAGCAGUUGGUGAAAUCAAGACACAUCAUCAGAGUCACCCUGAGAGUGACACAGAACGCUUCCCAAAUAUUGUUGGAAGAAGUAUUAUGAAGAGUGAAUUCAAGACACAACCCAAGAGUCGUCUUGGGACUAAUGUAAAAGGCUUGACAGAUAAAACUAGAAGAGGUGUAAUAAAGGGACAAUUCAAGAUACAAUCAAUGGAUCUCCCUGACACUGAUACAGAGCGCUUCCCAGAUGCUGUUGGAAAAGGUAUAAUAAAGGGUGAAAUCAAGACACAAUCCAAGAGUUAUCCUGAGACUGAUAUACAACGCAUGAGAGAUACUGUUGGAAGAGAAAAAGCAGUUGGUGAAAUCAAGACAUAUCAUCAGAGUCACCCUGGUAUGAGUUUAUUUAAAAAAAAUGCAUUCUCAUAUCAAGAAGAUUUCUACACCAGGCACAUUGCACCAAGUAAAUAUAAAACAAAAGUGAUGAAUUUAUCACCCUUUGAUGAUGAAGGCAAGGUCAAUAGAAAGAGUCAACAUGAGGGGCAUCGAAAAAAUUUGACCUUAAACAAAAAGAAAGGUGAACUUGAUACUCUGCCUGCUCUGAUCGCUACAGCUAGAAAACCUAUCUAUAAAGGUCUGAAGUGGGUCUCUUGAAGACAGCAUAUGUAUGGAUCUUGUUUUUGUAUCCAUUCAGCAAGCCUGUGUCUUUUGGUUGGAGCAUUUAAUCCGUUCACAUUUAAGUGCCAUAUACUGCUACCCGAAAAUCUCUACCCCACCCAUACUUUUGAGAAUAAAUUAAUUCUGGGCAAAAUAAAUAACAUGAGCAAAUUCGUCAAGACAGCAAUGAACCUGCAAGAGUGGAAAUAACACUGCCUUCAGUAGAUGCUGCUUAUUGAACAAUAAUGAGAAAGAUCCUGAAUAAACAGGGUAGACCCAGAUCAUGGACGUAGUAAAAAAAAGUACAACUUACAUGGCAAGAAGAAAUCAUCAAUUGAGUGAGCAUAAAGUAUCAGUCAAGAGAAAAUAAAUUGAGGAAUUCUUCACUAAUUACUGAUUCUCUGAAACUGUGAAAGGUCCCAGAGGAAGUCUCUCAGUGUCAGAAAUGGUUCUUAACAUCGAGUCAAAUUCUACCUUCAUAGAGUACAGGCUACCAAUUCUGAAUAUACGUGUAUACUGGGGUUGAACAAAUAAAUACAGGAAUGAUGGAAUGUAAGAGCCAGGUUUCUCAGUGCUGGAGAGAGAAAUUAUAGGUAAGUAAAUUGGAAAGCUUAGAAUAAACCCCAUGGUAAUGCGUACGUUGGAAAGUCUUCAUACUAUUUUUGCAACUUGUAUGUAAGUCUAGAAUUAUUUUUUAAACAUUUUUCAGUAAUCACCCAGAGAGUAUUUGUAUAAUGAAAUAUGAACAGGAAACCCUAAAUUUAAGAUUUGGACAGAAGAACAGGUUAUAUUUGUUUUUUCCAUUCAUUUAUUAAUUCAGUUAAAAUUCAGUGUUUAUUAUAUCCAGGCACAGUGUUAAUUGUUAGGUUUACAAGGGUAAACCAAUCAAGCAUCAUUUCAUCAACUCAGAAUCUAAUGAGGGAAACAAAUGUUAAAUGAAUAUGUAUAUAGUAAGGUGAAUUAUAUACAGAAUUUGUGAAUACAUAAGUAUGUAUAAUACACAUAUCUAUGUAUAACACUUUUUUAAAUUGAAAUAUUGUUAAUUUAUAAUGUUUUGUUAGUUUCUGGUGUACAGCAAAGUGAUUCAGUUAUAUGUAUGUAUAGACUUUUAUAUAUAUGUAAAUUAUAUAUACUUUUAUAUUUUCAUAUUCUUUUCCAUUAUAGUUUAUUACAAAAUAUUGAAUAUAGUUCCCUGUGCUAUACAGUAGGACCUUGUUGUUUAUAUAUAGUAGUUUGUAUCUGCUAAUCCCAAACUCCUAAUUUAUCCCCCCCUCCCCGCCCUGAACUUUCCCCUUUGGUAACCAAGUUUGUUUUCUAUGUCUCUGAGUCUGUUUUUGUUUUGCAAAUAAGUUCAUUUGUAUCAUUUUUUAAGAUUGCACAUAUAAGUGAUACCAUAUAUUUGUCUUUCUCUGUCUUACUUCACUUAGUAUGAUAAUCUCUCUCUUUAGAGAAAUCAGCUGAUAACCUUUUGGGGGUCCCUUGUAACUAACUCUUUGUUUUUCUCAUGCUGCCUUUAGAAGCCUCUCUUUAACUUUUGUCAUUUUAAUUAUAAUAUGUCUUGGUGUAGGUCUGUUUGGGUUUAUCUUGUGCUUCCUGUACCUGGAUAUGUUUCCUUCUUUAUGUUUCAGAAAUUUUCAGCCAUAGUUUCUUCAAAUACAUUUUCGAUCCCCUUUUCUCUUUCUUCUCUUUCUAGGAUCCCUAUUAUGUAUGGAUUGUCUUGCUCUAUAUUAUCCCAUAGGUCUCAUAUGUUGCUUUCAUUUUUUUUCAUUUGUCUUUCUGUCUGCUUUCUGAUUGGGUGAUUUCCAUUAUCCUCUCUGCCAGAUCACUUAUUCAUUCUUCUGCAUUAUCUAGUUUGCUAUUUAUUGCCAUUUGCUCAGCUUUCAUCUCAGCAAGUGAGUUUUCUAAUUUUCAUUGGCUCAUCUUUAUAGUUUCUAGUUCCUUGUUAAAAUGAUCUGCAUUUCUAUUAAUAGCCUUUCUUAACUCCUUCAGUAUUUUUAUUACCUCCUUUUUGAACUUGGGGUCUGGUAGACUGGAGAGGUCUGUUUCAUUGUUUUUUCUUUCAGGGGAUUUCUCUUGUCUUUUAAGGGUUCUGUUUUGAUAAUAUAUGUUCGCUUUCAUAAUUUAACCAUAAUACUGCAAGAUUAUGUUUCCUUUUUCCAAAGUGUGUAGAACACAUCAUAUAUGCCUCAGAGGUAAGGAUAAAGUGACUGACAUUAAAGGCCUUGGAUAAAGCUUAAUGACCAACGACUGUAAGAAUCAAAUAGGAUAGUAGCAAUGAAAGUGUGAUGAAGAUAUGAGGUAUGUAAGAAACAAAAUAAACUAGGCUGUUCAAAUAGAAGUCUGAAAACAAAAUUGGAUUUAAUGGCUGAGUGGCAAAGGAAGGAUGCACCACACAGGUCUGACUUAAGAGAGUUGUCCAAAAUGAAAAUUGAAGGGCUUAGAUAUAGGGCAAAAAGGGAAUAAUAAGACUGAAUAGGGUAAGAUGACAAUUUCAAGUCAUGAGUUGGCUGAAGAGGUAGAUUAUAAACUCAUGUUCACAAUUACUUACCUUUAGAGAUUGCAUCACCAAUAUGGAGAAACCUGGUUUCAAGUAGGUCUGGGAUGGAGAAAGAAAAAUUUCAAAGGGCCUAAGGUUAUGCUUAGAUUGGCAAGAUUUUUUUUUUUAACCUAUUUCAUUACAGUCUUACUUAGAAAUAAGAAAUGAAGUUGGGAAUUCCCAGAGGUACCUUCCAUUGCUAAGGUGAUUGAAGGGGAAAAUGGUACUAAUUGAUAAUUAACACUUGUUAAAAAUUUACAAGAUUUACAUUGUCUUUGAGGAGUGACAUCAGCAAGAUGGUGGACUAGGAGGAGCUCUGGAAACUAGUCAGAUCACAAAAGAAGAGAGCAAAAGAAGAAGAAAGGAACAAAAAUGAACUACAAAAACAACCAGAAAACAAUAAGUACAUGUGCAUCAAUAAUUACUUUAAGUAUAAAUGGACUAAAUACUUCAAUGAAAAGACACAGAGUAGGGACUUCCCUGGUGGUGCAGUGGUUAACAAUCCGCCUGCCAAUGCAGGGGACAUGGGUUCGAUCCCUGGUCUGGGAAGAUCCCACAUGCUGUGGAGCAACUAAGCCCAUGUGCCACAACUACUGAGCCUGAGCUCUAGAGCCCGCAAGCCACAACUACUGAGCCCGCAUGCCACAACUACUGAAGCCCAUGCUCCUAGAGCCCGUGCUCCGCAACAAGAGAAGCCACGACAAUGAGAAGCCCACACACGACAACGAAGACCCAACGCAGCUAAAAAUUAAAAAAACACAGGGCUUCCCUUAUGGCGCAGUGGUUGAGAAUCUGCCUGCUAAUGCAGGGGACACGGGUUCGAGCCCUGGUCUGGGAAGAUCCCACAUGCCGCGGAGCAACUAGGCCCGUGAGCCACAACUACUGAGCCUGCACGUCUGGAGCCUGUGCUCCGCAACAAGAGAGGCCGCGAUAGUGAGAGGCCCACGCACCGUGAUGAAGAGUGGCCCCCGCUUGCCACAACUAGAGAAAGCCCUCACACAGAAAUGAAGUCCCAACACAGCCAAAAAAAAAAAAAAAAAAAAGACACAG